rnacentral:rRNA from 1 species
AUUGAACGCUGGCGGCAGGCCUAACACAUGCAAGUCGAACGGUAACAGGAAGAAGCUUGCUUCUUUGCUGACGAGUGGCGGACGGGUGAGUAAUGUCUGGGAAACUGCCUGAUGGAGGGGGAUAACUACUGGAAACGGUAGCUAAUACCGCAUAACGUCUCAAGACCAAAGAGGGGGACCUUCGGGCCUCUUGCCAUCGGAUGUGCCCAGAUGGGAUUAGCUAGUAGGUGGGGUAACGGCUCACCUAGGCGACGAUCCCUAGCUGGUCUGAGAGGAUGACCAGCCACACUGGAACUGAGACACGGUCCAGACUCCUACGGGAGGCAGCAGUGGGGAAUAUUGCACAAUGGGCGCAAGCCUGAUGCAGCCAUGCCGCGUGUAUGAAGAAGGCCUUCGGGUUGUAAAGUACUUUCAGCGGGGAGGAAGGGAGUAAAGUUAAUACCUUUGCUCAUUGACGUUACCCGCAGAAGAAGCACCGGCUAACUCCGUG